GUCAGGAUGGCCGAGUGGUCUAAGGCGCCAGACUCAAGGUGAGAACCUUGCCUACGGGUGUUCUGGUCUCCGGAUGGAGGCGUGGGUUCGAAUCCCACUUCUGACA
rnacentral:tRNA from 1 species